ACAGAGGUGGCGAACGUUGUUCGGAUUUACUGGGCGUAAAGGGUCCGCAGGCGGAUCGGUAUGUCGGAUGUGAAAGCUCACAGCUCAACUGUGGAAUUGCAUUCGAAACUGCCGAUCUAGAGUACUGGAGGGGAGAAGGGAAUUCUUGGUGUAGCGGUGAAAUGCGUAGAUAUCAAGAAGAACACCGGUGGCGAAGGCGCUUCUCUGGACAGAUACUGACGCUCAUGGACGAAAGUUAGGGUAGCGAAAGGG
rnacentral:rRNA from 1 species